CAGCAGCCGCGGUAACACGAAGGGGGCUAGCGUUGUUCGGAUUUACUGGGCGUAAAGCGCACGUAGGCGGAUCGAUCAGUCAGGGGUGAAAUCCCAGAGCUCAACUCUGGAACUGCCUUUGAUACUGUCGAUCUGGAGUAUGGAAGAGGUGAGUGGAAUUCCGAGUGUAGAGGUGAAAUUCGUAGAUAUUCGGAGGAACACCAGUGGCGAAGGCGGCUCACUGGUCCAUUACUGACGCUGAGGUGCGAAAGCGUGGGGAGCAAACAGGAUUAGAUACCCCCGUAGUCCCUGUCUCUUAUAC
rnacentral:rRNA from 1 species